UCGAGAAUCUUCCGCAAUGGACGAAAGUCUGACGGAGCGACGCCGCGUGCGGGAUGAAGGCCCUUGGGUUGUAAACCGCUGUCAGAGGGGAUGAAAUCUUCGGAGGUACUCCUCCGAAGUUGACAGAGCCUCACAGGAAGCACGGGCUAAGUACGUGCCAGCAGCCGCGGUAACACGUACUGUGCGAACGUUAUUCGGAAUCACUGGGCUUAAAGGGUGCGUAGGCGGCAAUUCAAGUCAGAUGUGAAAUGCCUGAGCUCAACUGAGGCAUUGCGUUUGAAACUGAAUCGCUAGAGUAUCCCAGGGGUGUGCGGAACUGCCAGUGGAACGGUGAAAUGUGUUGAUAUUGGCAGGAACACCGGAGGCGAAAGCGGCACACUAGGGGAUAACUGACGCUGAGGCACGAAAGCCAAGGGAGCGAACGGGAUUAGAUACCCCCGUAGUCCCUGAGCGGGCUGGCAAGGCGCAU
rnacentral:rRNA from 1 species